AUCUCUCUCUCUCUCUCUCUCUCUCUCUCUCUAUAUAUAUAUAUAUAUAUAUAUAUAUAUAUAUAUAUAUAUAUAUUCAUUCUGGUCCUCUCUCUCUCUCUCUCUCUCUCUCUAUAUAUAUAUAUAUAUAUAUAUAUAUAUAUAUAUAGAGAGAGAGAGAGAGAGAGAGAGAGAGAGAG
rnacentral:miRNA from 1 species